GGCCUCGGUGUUGUAGUGGAAACACGUGGCCCCGGCAUGGGUGAAGUGCGGGUUCAACUCCUGCCGAAGUCA